rnacentral:rRNA from 1 species
CCCCAGGCGGAGUGCUUAAUGCGUUMGUGCAGCACUAAGGGGCGGAAACCCCCUAACACUUAGCACUCAUCGUUUACGGCGUGGACUACCAGGGUAUCUAAUCCUGUUCGCUCCCCACGCUUUCGCUCCUCAGCGUCAGUUACAGACCAGAGAGUCGCCUUCGCCACUGGUGUUCCUCCACAUCUCUACGCAUUUCACCGCUACACGUGGAAUUCCACUCUCCUCUUCUGCACUCAAGUUCCCCAGUUUCCAAUGACCCUCCCCGGUUGAGCCGGGGGCUUUCACAUCAGACUUAAGAAACCGCCUGCGAGCCCUUUACGCCCAAUAAUUCCGGACAACGCUUGCCACCUACGUAUUACCGCGGCUGCUGGCACGUAGUUAGCCGUGGCUUUCUGGUUAGGUACCGUCAAGGUACSCCCUAUUCGAACGGUACUUGUUCUUCCCUAACAACAGAGCUUUACGRUCCGAAAACCUUCAUCACUCACGCGGCGUUGCUCCGUCAGACUUUCGUCCAUUGCGGAAGAUUCCCUACUGCUGCCUCCCGUAGAGUCUGGGCCGUGUCUCAGUCCCAGUGUGGCCGAUCACCCUCUCAGGUCGGCUACGCAUCGUUGCCUUGGUGAGCCGUUACCUCACCAACUAGCUAAUGCGCCGCGGGUCCAUCUGUAAGUGGUAGCCRAAGCCACCUUUUAUGUUUKAACCAUGCGGUUCAAACAACCAUCCGGUAUUAGCCCCGGUUUCCCGGAGUUAUCCCAGUCUUACAGGCAGGUUACCCACGUGUUACU